GGAACACACACUUUUCCAUAAGCGCAUAACCAUAAGUAUAAGGAAAUUGAUUGGUUCAUUUUCUUAUGCAUACAUUUGUGAACCAAUCAAUUUCUUUAUGUUUAUGGUUAUGCGCUUAUGCGAAAGUGUGUGCUCCCCGCUUAAAGCGGGGAGUACACACUUUUCCAUAAUGCAUAACGCAUAAUGCUUAGCACAUAGCAUAAUAUGCAGCAAUGCACACGUAAUGUAUGUACGAUACAUAAGAAUUUUAUAUUCAAGAUGGUGAAGUUCGCUUUUUAAUUUAAAAGUGUGAAAUCUUUGGCAAAAUAUUGUGAAAGUAAAAAGUUAUGAAAUAUUCGAGAAGUAGAUACAAUUGAUCGAUUUUCUUUGCGAUGUCUGAUUAUAUACCUAGAUACAGGGCAUCUGUUUUCAUAAAUAUGAAUGAAAAUGAUCUUAUUUUGUUCGUUUUGCAAUUGUGCCUAUUGGUUAUUAAAGAAAAGAAAACGAAAAAAAGAUGGCUAAAUCGGAGAUGAUGGGUUAGAUCCAUUAACGUUGUACGUUCUAUACAUGGGGGGGAUUAUGAACAUCUCUUUCAAAAGAUAAAGUAUAAUGAUCCAAGUAUAUUUUGUCGAUAUACAAGGAUGAGAGAGGAAACUUUUAAGCUUCUGUUACAAAUGACAAGACCAUUUUUGACCAAAUCAAACCAUCGAGCAUUUAGUCUAGAGCAGCGUUUGAUCAUAACUCUAAGGUAGUUACUUAUUUUCUUAUGAGCUGUUUAAUUGAAGAAUGAAACAUAUGUGUAAAACAAUAUCAUUUUUCAAAUGUUUUAUGCCAGUAUUUUUGCAUAUCAAUAUUUCUAUCAAUUAUUUUGUAUAGGUUUUUAGCAACCGGAGAUCAAAUACUAUCUAUUGCAUUAGCGUUUAGAUGUGGAGAGUCAACUGUUCGAAAAAUUAUCCAAGAAACUUGUCGGGUUCUAGCCUAAGUAUUGCAGCCAAUUUACCUUUGUUUGCCAACAGAAGAAAAAUGGAAUAAUAUUUGUAUUGGUUUUCUGGAAAGCUGGAAUUUCCCCAAUUGCGCUGGAUCUUUUGACGGAAAACAUAUAAAAAUACAAGCUCCGCCAAAUUCCGGGAGUUUAUUUUUUAACUACAAAAAGACAUUCAGUAUUGUGCUAAUGGCUGCAUCAUAAAUAUAUGUUCACACUAGUUGACAUUGGUUCAUAUGGUGGCAAUAGUGACGGUGGUAUUUUUACUUUUUCUGACAUUUAUUCAGCAUUGGAAAAUGAAUUACUGAAUCUUCCCAAAGGGACUGUAAAUCUUCCUGGAAGUAACAUUACAAUGCCUUGUUUUUUUCUCGGAGACAGUGGUUUCCCGAUCAGUACUUUGAUGAUGCGACCUUACUCCGGAAAAAUACUUAAUGAAAGAAAAAAAAUAUUUAAUUAUAGUUUUAUUAAUUUUUGCAGAUUAUCUAGAGCAAGGCGUACUAUAAAAAAUACUUUUGGUAUUUUAUCUUCACGAUGGAGAAUUUAUCGAAAGCCCAUUAAUAUGCAUCCGAAAUAUAUAGACAUGAUUGUCAUGGCGACUGUAUGUCUACAUAAUUUCAUAAAAUGUGAGGAAGAUCUUGUGGAAGCGAAGAACAGAAUAUACUGUCCUCCACAUUUUAUAGAUUCAGAGGACUCUGAAGGUAACAUCAUCCCCGGGGAAUGGUGACAAUAUACUGAAAAUGUACUGAGAGAUAUAUCUCCCACUUCAAAGCAUCAUGCAACUACAAUUGCAUACAAACAAUGAGACAAACUGGCUG